CCCUUAGAUGUCCUGGGCCGCACGCGCGCUACAAUGACUCACUCAGAAAGUUUUUCCUGAUCCGGAAGGAUUCGGGUAAUCUUCAUAGCAUGAGUCGUGUUAGGGAUCGAUCUUUGCAAUUAUAGAUCUUGAACGAGGAAUGCCUAGUAAGUGCAGCUCAUCAGGCUGUACUGAUUACGUCCCUGCCCUUUGCACACACCGCCCGUCGCUCCUACCGAUUGAGUGGUCCGGUGAACCUUCUGGAUUAAGCAGCAAUGCUUGAGAAGUUAGGUAAACCUUAUCACUUAGAGGAAGGAGAAGUCGUAACA
rnacentral:rRNA from 1 species